rnacentral:tRNA from 1 species
UAUAGAAUAGUACAAGAAGUAUGUAAGAUCUUGGCUCUUGCGAUGGAAGUUCAACCCUUUCUUCUAUAC